UACAGAGGGUGCAAGCGUUGUUCGGAAUCAUUGGGCGUAAAGCGCGCGCAGGCGGUCUUCCAAGUCAGUGGUGAAAGCCCGGAGCUCAACUCCGGAACUGCCAUUGAAACUGUUAGACUUGAGGAUGAGAGAGGUGAGUGGAAUUCCCAGUGUAGAGGUGAAAUUCGUAGAUAUUGGGAAGAACACCGGUGGCGAAGGCGGCUCACUGGCUCAUUACUGACGCUCAGGCGCGAUAGCGUGGGGAUCAAACAGG
rnacentral:rRNA from 1 species